AAAGCUUUUACGAACAGCAAAAAAUCUCAUGAGUCUGUCGAAUGAUCUCGAGAGUGAUGACCUCGAAACAGAUGAUCUCUUUCCUAUGAAUCCUUCACCAAUCCGAUCAUCACCCAAAAAAUCUAAUAAUCCGGAAAAACACUCGGAAAAUCCACUAGAUUUGACACCAUCCCCACCAACUAUUAAUCAACGUACAGAUAAAAGGAAACGAACUUCAUCUUUUGAUGGAUGGCGAUUCCCUGGAGGGAAUGAUGAUUGGAUGGAUGGCAUUAUUAGUCCACCCAAGAACCCAAAGUCUUCACGGUCUGAGCCACCUAUUUUCAAAAAGAAAAAAACAUUGACAUCUCCAGGAAGCCAUCCUGCGUAGGCGUACAUUUGAAUAACCAUCCAAUGGUCGAUGCCGCCUUUCAGAAGUACUUUGAUGAAAAAUUGGAGAAGAAAUUGGAAAGCCUGAGGCAGAGGUUGGCCUACGACUUUCGAAAAUCAAUCAAUGAAUUGAAAAGUACCAUCGUUGGUACAAAUCUACCUCCAGCAGCUGGACCAAGCUUGAUUGAAGUACAAAGACGUUUAUCUGUGCCAUUACCACUCGAGACUCUAGAGUAAUUUAUAAACUAUGAGGCGGUGUUGGAAAUAGACGAGAAUGAAAUGCAAUCUCUGCAUCUUUUUUUCAAGGUUUUGAUAAGUAACCAGAAAAA